rnacentral:rRNA from 1 species
CUACGGGACGCUCCAGUGGGGAAUAUUGCACAAUGGAGGAAACUCUGAUGCAGCAACGCCGCGUGGAGGAUGACACUUUUCGGAGCGUAAACUCCUUUUAUAUAGGAAGAAGAUGACGGUACUAUAUGAAUAAGCGCCGGCUAACUCCGUGCCAGCAGCCGCGGUAAUACGGAGGGCGCAAGCGUUAAUCGGAAUUACUGGGCGUAAAGAGCGUGUAGGCGGAUUAAAAAGUCAGAAGUGAAAUCCUAUAGCUUAACUAUAGAACUGCUUCUGAAACUCUUAAUCUAGAAUAUGGGAGAGGUAGAUGGAAUUUCUGGUGUAGGGGUAAAAUCCGUAGAGAUCAGAAGGAAUACCGAUUGCGAAGGCGAUCUACUAGAACAUUAUUGACGCUGAGACGCGAAAGCGUGGGGAGCAAACAGGAUUAGAUACCCUAGUAGUC